AAUGUGAGAGUCAAAUGGAGACAACUUGGUGAUAUUGUGAGGAGUAACAUCUUCAGAGGAGUGUCAGCAUGACCCCUCACAGUGAAGCUCUACUGCUGGUCUUCAGUUUCUCACUGUGUGGUAGUCUGUGUGCUGUAUCUUUAUAUAGAAAUGAAAGAGCCCACUUUUGGGCCAGAGCAGACCCAGAGCCAGCUACCAGCUCACCAUGGACGUCUCGAUCAACAGAAGUGGACAUGACAAGUCCAACCGAUGUAUUACAUUCAGAUGGGACUAGCAGAGACCUUGAGGUGGACCCUUCAGUUGAUCAAAACCCCUAUGUCACAAAGGAGGAUCAUGGUUUGUCAAGACUUCCAGCCUCAAGAACACCAUGGAUCAAAACUUUAACUUCUACUAAGAUUAAACCUCCUUCAGAUAUCCAGAACGAUGAAGAGGGACCUCAAACAGAGGCAUCUGAUUGGCCAAACUUUAGUAAGCAAGGCAAUAUGGAGCAAUCGUUUAAACCAUCUCCACUGGCAACACUACAGCAUUUUUCUUCUCAGGCCUGGAGUACCAAACCCAAGACACCUAUUGAUUGGAAUACAGAGACAUACACACUUCAGACUCCUGCUGAAACUAGAUUUAGCAUCUACCAGACACUGUGGAAGUCCUCUGGUGCUACUCAGACACCAUAUGCCAGAGGAACUUUAGAUGGUACCACUUUGCCAAGAGGGCUGACAGACAAUCUGCAGCCAUCUGAGGAAACAAAGCAACUGACAGAUGCUCCUACAGAUAGUCUGACAGAGCCGACUGUCAAUAUGACAAAUCCUGACCCUGAAAGAGAGGAGCGCAAGGGUGCUGACCAAGUGAAAAAGGAAGAAAAUGGCCAAUCGACCACCACUGUGAUCGAGGUCACUGAAAGCUAUCCUGAAGCAGGUACUGAAGCAUUCAUUGUCAGAAUGACCUCUGUUCUAACACAUGAUCUUAUACUGUUGGUGAGCAGAGAGCAAGAGCUUUCCAGUUCUUCAC
ensembl:lncRNA